rnacentral:rRNA from 1 species
GCGUGCGUGAAGAAGGCCUUAGGGUUGUAAAGCGCUUUCACUGGUGAAGAUGAUGACGGUAGCCAGAGAAGAAGCCCCGGCUAACUCCGUGCCAGCAGCCGCGGUAAUACGGAGGGGGCAAGCGUUGUUCGGAAUUACUGGGCGUAAAGGGCGCGUAGGCGGAAUAUCAAGUUAGGGGUGAAAGGCCUGGGCUCAACCUAGGAACUGCCUCUAAGACUGAUAAUCUAGAGUCCGGAAGAGGAUGGCGGAAUUCCCAGUGUAGAGGUGAAAUUCGU